rfam:Elusimicrobia bacterium RIFOXYD2_FTLL_34_15 rifoxyd2_full_scaffold_262, whole genome shotgun sequence.
CCUAAGGAUUUUUUUAAAUCCACAAUACUAAUUUUUCUUAAGUCAG